GAUUUGUGAUAGCUACUCGUCAACCGGCGACGGAACGUGAUACAGUCGCGAAGGUACUAGGACAAAACGUGAUUGGUUGGCACGGCCGCUGAAGUUGAACCAGCCGUAGUGAACACUGAACAGUGUUAAUUAACGUAUUACGCGAUAUAGAUUAACAAUAACACACCAAUAAUUAUAUGUCAACGAAACGGUAUAAAUAGCAUCAUAAUACGUUAUAGUGACGACAACAACGGUCGUCCGGUUAAGCGACGACUCACAUUUUUAUUCCACCAUCGACCCGUUAAAAUGCGCUCGUAAAACGACGUCGUACGAGUCGUAAAAAAGUUUAACCGCGUCCCUCUCUCUAUCGUUUUGUGUUUUUUUUUCGCGUGAUUCCCCGACGCUCGAGAUUGUGCGCGCGUCUAUAGCGUCAAGUUUCGGCCGUGCCGCAUCUAUGGGCAAUGUCAGAUGCCAGAUCGCGUGCGACCGCCGCCGCAGGGACGUCCUCAUCGUCGACGUCGAAUUCCAGAUUGCUACUGCAAAGAGGAAGAGGAAAACGAAAUAAUAUUACAAAUAUAUAUAGUCGCAAGAGGAACGACUACGUCGCGGCUGCCAAUCCCGACGGAGUGGGGAUAGUUUUGUAAUCGAUCGUAUCAGUGCAAAUGGAUUCAUGAAGGUUCGCAAAAGGACAACCACUUGAAGUGAAUACCGUCAAAGAAACACGAUAUUUUACUGUCAACACAUUUCAACUAGUAAUCAUAAUAAAAUGGUUGUGCCAGAAAACGGAAUUAUGUGUGAUAAUAUUAUGCGAGGUAUAGAAAAAAAUGGUGGUGGUAUUCAUUUGCACAAUCGCAAACAAAAACUAAAACAAAAAUUUGAUAUAUUGAAAAAGCUUGGAGAAGGAUCUUGUGGAAAAGUUCAAUUAGGUAUUUGCAAAGAAACUGAACAGUUGGUUGCUAUCAAAACAAUAAGAAAACGAAAAAUAGAGACUGAAGCAGAUUUAAUACGAAUCAGACGAGAAAUACAAAUUAUGUCUUCUGUAAGACAUCCUAAUAUCAUACACAUAUAUGAAGUAUUUGAAAAUCGGGAAAAAAUAGUAUUAGUAAUGGAAUAUGCAGCAGGAGGAGAACUUUAUGACUAUCUCAGUGAAAAAAAAGUUCUUACUGAAGAGGAGGCUAGAAGAAUAUUUAGACAAGUGGCUAUAGCAAUUUUUUACUGUCAUAAACAUAAUAUUUGUCAUCGUGAUCUCAAGUUGGAAAAUAUUUUAUUGGAUGACCAAGGAAAUGCUAAAAUUGCUGAUUUUGGUUUGUCAAAUGUUUUUAAUCAUAAAGCUCUUUUGUCAACUUAUUGUGGUAGUCCAUUAUAUGCUUCUCCAGAAAUAGUUACUGGUACUCCUUAUCAUGGCCCUGAAGUGGAUUGCUGGUCUUUAGGCGUUUUAUUAUACACUUUGGUAUAUGGAACAAUGCCAUUUGAUGGAUCAAAUUUUAAACGUUUAGUUAGACAAAUUUCUCAGGGUGAAUAUUAUGAACCAAAAAAACCUUCAAGAGCUUCUCCAUUAAUUGGAAGUAUGAUGACAGUUAAUCCUAACACACGUGCUGAUAUUCAUACAAUAUGUUCACAUCAAUGGUUAAACGAAGGUUAUUCUGAUGAAAAUCAAUGUUUACGCAUUGCUGAAGAAAUGGCUUCCUCAACCACAGUCAGAUUAGAUUUGUUGCUAUCCUUAGCACCAGCACCAAAAGAAACCAAUAAUAAUUUAGGUAUACAACCAUCUAAUGGUGAAAAUGAAGCCCGGUCUGAAAGUGGUCCUGUAAGGUCUCAAAGCUUAGGAAGUAUAUCUCCUUCACGUGCUACAGCUGUAAUACCCGAUUCACCUGUGGAAAAGAAACCUAAGAAACUAAAGAAAAGAGAUCGUUCUAUAAGUCGUUCUAAAAAAUCUAGUCAAUCUGAUACUGGUGAAAAUGAUCUCCAAACAUCAUCCUCAAAGGAAUCGUCUAAAACUCUUAAUAAUUCAAAGAGUGAUAAAUCACAAUCACCAAUAGAGUCCACUACAAAUAUUGAACUUGAUGUCGUAAAACCUAUUGAACGACCCAGGCGGCGAUCUAGUAGAGUCUUAGAAGCAGUAGAAAAAUUAGAUCAAAUUGAAUCUAUGGCGAAAAAUAGUUUUGAUCCCAAGAGACGAAAUUCUCUUGGUAGUGGAUCAUCAAAUAGUUCCAAAAAAAGUAUUGAAUCUGAUAGUUAUACUACACAAGCACUAAUAAAAGAACCACAAUUCAGCUUAGAAUCUACUGUGGGGCUCAAUAAAUUAGCAGAAUCAGCAUUAAAUAAUGAGCCAUUAUGUGUAGUACAGACCAAUAACAAUAAUUUUAAAAAUCUUCCUGAUGACUUAAGAAAAAGCUUAAAUGCUAUAAGAAUAAUUGGAGAUUCCAUUUCUGAUAGCAAUACUAAUAAAAUUGAGGAACCAAAAAGAAAAACAUCAAGGGCAGAGAUAAAAUUAUCCAAACCUGAGUUACCAGCUAGUAAUAAUGUAAAAGAUUCUAUACUUCAUGACAAUGAUUCAAUUGAUACAAACUACAAGACCGAAGUAAAACAUUUUGUGCAAGUACCUAAGCCAACUAGACGUAUAACAGAAGUGUCUUUCCCAAUUGCCGGAGCUACUGCAACCACAACAGCACCAUUACCACCAAGACCUGUAUUUCGACAAAACAGUCAACCUCGUGAACAUAUUAUACCUAUACGAUUUGAAGCAGAAGAUAAAUCAAAAACUAAACCUAUUCAAAGAGUUCCAUCUAUAACUAGCCCCAAGACAAGUAGCAGUAAUUUGUGCAAGACAAGUAGUAGCAACUUGUCACGACAAAGUACUGUAGACACAGAUAGUAAUAGCAGUAUUGUAAGCUUAGGUGAACCAAUAAGAAAAUCUCCUCGAGAAGUUAUUAUACCUAUUGCUGUUGAAGGUGGAGGUUAUGUUACACCUAGUAAUAGUGCACUUUAUAGAACAAAUUCAAAUAGUGAUAGGGGUGAUGAUGAUAAUGGAUCAGGUGGUGGUCAGCCUAGAUGUUUUUCAUUACGCAGUACACGUAGACAAAGGCCAUCUAUUAGAAAUUUACAGUCUACUGAAAGUAUAAGUUCAGAUGAAGAAGAUGACAGUUUUGAAAUUUUAACUGCCGAAAAUUUAUUUUCUACCUUACUAUCUAGAGUACGUGAUUUAACCAAUAAAUUGAGCAGUGAUGAAGGAAGAACUUCUGACUUCCCAAGAUCAUUUUUUAACCAUCAUCGUUCAAUAUUUGACCACCAAACCCCAAUUCGGCGUCUAACUGAAACUAGAUCAUUUAAUCGGUCUGAUAGUGCUCCUUGGAGAAGAAGCUUUGUUUCUACAUCUCAAGAACGUCCUUCUAAUACUUCUAGUAAAGCCAAUGUGACGGUGCAUGUGCCACGUGUACAAGACGAGUAAUAACGAUACUUCCUUCUGCCUGUCCAUAAUUUAAACCAAAAACACAAAUCUAUACAUAUUAUUACCUAUGCCACAAAUCUAUAGAAUUCUUUAAAGCUGCUGAUAAAAUGACUAAUAUUCAAAAACCUCCAGUGUACAAGCAUAUUCUGCCACGCGUUAUGGAAACCACGACUAACA
rnacentral:misc_RNA from 1 species